rnacentral:rRNA from 1 species
CCCUUAGAUGUUCUGGGCCGCACGCGCGCUACACUGAUGCAUUCAACAAGCCUAGCCUUGACCGAGAGGUCCGGGUAAUCUUUGAAACUGUAUCGUGAUGGGGCUAGAUUAUUGCAAUUAUUAAUCUUCAACGAGGAAUGCCUAGUAAGCGUGAUUCAUCAAAUCGCGUUGAUUACGUCCCUGCCCUUUGUACACACCGCCCGUCGCUCCUACCGAUUGAAUGUGUUGGUGAGGAGCUCGGAUUGGCAGCAGUUGGUGGUUCGCCACCGGCUAUUGCUGAGAAGUCCUCCAAACCGCCCCAUUUAGAGGAAGGAGAAGUCGUAACA